rnacentral:rRNA from 1 species
GACGUAGGGGGCGAGCGUUGUCCGGAUUUAUUGGGCGUAAAGCGUGCGUAGGCGGCUGCGCAAGUCGGGUGUGAAACCCCGGGGCUCAACCCCGGAACUGCAUCCGAUACUGCGUGGCUAGAGGUAGGUAGGGGAGAUCGGAAUUCCUGGUGUAGCGGUGAAAUGCGCAGAUAUCAGGAGGAACACCGGUGGCGAAGGCGGAUCUCUGGGCCGUAACUGACGCUGAGGAGCGAAAGCAUGGGUAGCGAACAGG